GUUAUUUUGGCAGAGUAGUGCAGUAAAUUUAGAAUUUAUUUAAGUAAGAUUAUUACAUAUAACA
rnacentral:tRNA from 1 species